rnacentral:rRNA from 1 species
AUGAAAUACCCUCAGCUGCUUUCCAAUCUGAGAGUUGAAUCGAAGAUGUCUCAAGAACUGCGCACACAAUUGAGCGAGUCUGAGAAAGGAGAGCUAAAAGAAUCGUUCCAUCAUAUGCUGAAAUGGGCCUGGAGAUAUAAUAAAUAUCUUGAAGAACAGGCAGCCCAGCUUCACAUGUUAACUAGCUGGUCGAAAACUGUUGAACUAGGAGAUUGUGGCGGCAGCGGUGGGUUUUGGGUCGGCGAGCUGCAGGGAUUUGCUGGACGCACGCCGUCACAUGUCGAGCCACACAUAGUGACCAAUGGUGGCGGAUUAGAGUUGGAAUUCAAGAGGUUUGUGUGGUUUCAGUUAUCCGAUGAUUGGGCGAGAGCGGAGCAACAGAGGCCGGCCAAGAACAUGACCAGGGAUAACACAUCUUGCUUGAUUUCCCGAGCGACCCAAGGUUAA